rnacentral:rRNA from 1 species
GACGAACGCUGGCGGCGUGCUUAACACAUGCAAGUCGAACGGAAAGGCCUGCAGCUUGCUGCGGGUACUCGAGUGGCGAACGGGUGAGUAACACGUGGGUGAUCUGCCUUGCACUUCGGGAUAAGCUUGAGAAACUGGGUCUAAUACCGGAUAGGACAGCUGUUUAGUGUCAGUUGUGGAAAGUUUUUUCGGUGCAAGAUGAGCUCGCGGCCUAUCAGCUUGUUGGUGGGGUAAUGGCCUACCAAGGCGUCGACGGGUAGCCGGCCUGAGAGGGUGUACGGCCACAUUGGGACUGAGAUACGGCCCAGACUCCUACGGGAGGCAGCAGUGGGGAAUAUUGCACAAUGGGCGGAAGCCUGAUGCAGCGACGCCGCGUGGGGGAUGAAGGCCUUCGGGUUGUAAACUCCUUUCGACAGGGACGAAGCGUAAGUGACGGUACCUGUAUAAGAAGCACCGGCUAACUACGUGCCAGCAGCCGCGGUAAUACGUAGGGUGCGAGCGUUGUCCGGAAUUACUGGGCGUAAAGAGCUCGUAGGUGGUUUGUCGCGUCGUCUGUGAAAUUCCGGGGCUUAACUCCGGGCGUGCAGGCGAUACGGGCUGACUUGAGUGCUGUAGGGGAGACUGGAAUUCCUGGUGUAGCGGUGAAAUGCGCAGAUAUCAGGAGGAACACCGAUGGCGAAGGCAGGUCUCUGGGCAGUAACUGACGCUGAGGAGCGAAAGCAUGGGUAGCGAACAGG